rnacentral:rRNA from 1 species
CAGCCGCCGCGGUAAUACGGAGGGUGCAAGCGUUAAUCGGAAUUACUGGGCGUAAAGCGCACGCAGGCGGUUUGUUAAGUCAGAUGUGAAAUCCCCGAGCUUAACUUGGGAACUGCAUUUGGAACUGGCAAGCUAGAGUCUUGUAGAGGGGGGUAGAACUCCAGGUGUAGCGGUGAAAUGCGUAGAGAUCUGGAGGAAUACCGGUGGCGAAGGCGGCCCCCUGGACAAAGACUGACGCUCAGGUGCGAAAGCGUGGGGAGCAAACAGGAUUAGAUACCCCUGUAGUCCCUGUCUCUUAUAC